rnacentral:sRNA from 1 species
GUAAGAAUUCGAGAUAGGCACUGCUCAAUCGUUCGCGGCGUAGGGAGCUUCAUUUCUACCGAACGUUUUCUCCGUUCCGACCGGGUGUGGUGGAAUUUUCGUGUGUGAGACACUAUAAAGGAGCGUUCCUGUGAGCUUGGUAGUUCAACUCCGAGGGUGUUGAUGUUGUUCUGUAUAACUGUAUGGAGCUUUGAACUGGUAUGUCUAUCCCUACACUCGAAGCACGGUUCAUACUCAGAUAGAGGAGAGCAGUGUAAGUGGUGAGAGUAGAGGGAGGUCCUCGUCUAUAGUCUUAGAGUUUAGACAUAGACAGAUUGGGGGAUUUACCUUGCAUAGUGUUGGGGUGUGCCAGCUGAACUACGCAAGUGCAAAGACGACCAAUAGUUCGAUAGUUAUACAAAUCCGGAUGAGUCGUGUGAGUGUUUGAGUAAUGUUUUUAAAGGAUGUUGUCGAGAAGGUUUCCUUGGAGCAAGAGCUGGAGGAGAAUGAUGCUGCUGCGCAGUCUAGUUAGGAUUUAGAUAUUUAAACCUUUGGAGAUUAAAUACUCUAAAAUGUCUAAGUUUAAAACUCUGUAUUAUAUUUUGGAUGACUGUAAUUCCGUAUUUAAUUGCAAGUCAUACUCUAACUGUUCUCUUUAUUGGGAAUGUUGACUCCUAAAUUAUAUGAUGUGGUUACUAUAUUUUGGGAUGUCACA